UACGGAGGGUGCAAGCGUUGCUCGGAAUUAUUGGGCGUAAAGGGGAGGUAGGUGGUCUCGUUUGUCUGGGGUGAAAUCCCUGAGCUUAACUCAGGACGUGCCUCGGAAACGGCGAGACUGGAGUACUGGAGAGGCUAGCGGAAUACCCGGUGUAGCGGUGAAAUGCGUAGAGAUCGGGUGGAACACCAGAGGCGAAGGCGGCUAGCUGGACAGUUACUGACACUCAACUCCGAAAGCGUGGGGAGCAAACAGG
rnacentral:rRNA from 1 species